CCCAAAGAACAGAAAAAAAUCCCAUCAUGCUUCAAGGGAACAAAGUGAGAAUUCUGGCACUUGAUUGAGGAUGAAAGUAUUGGCUAAUCAAAACAAGAUCAAGAACAAAGACCAUGAAGUACAAGACGAAGGAAGAAGAUAUUUAGUCCAUAAUAAUGAGAUUUUGAUCCAGCAUUUAUCCCAGAACACUAUGCUCAGUGAGUAA
rnacentral:lncRNA from 1 species